GAUGAACGCUAGCUACAGGCUUAACACAUGCAAGUCGAGGGGCAGCAUGCAGGUAGCUUGCUAUCUGUGAUGGCGACCGGCGCACGGGUGAGUAACGCGUAUCCAACCUUCCCCGUAGUAGGGCACAGCCCGGCGAAAACCGAAUUAAUGCCCGAUAUAUAUUUAGAUGGCAUCAGAAGAGUAUGAAAGAUUUAUCGGUAAGGGAUGGCGAUGCGUAGGAUUAGGUAGUCGGCGGGGUAACGGCCCACCGAGCCUACGAUCCUUAGGGGUUCUGAGAGGAAGGUCCCCCACAUUGGAACUGAGACACGGUCCAAACUCC
rnacentral:rRNA from 1 species